GAUGAACGCUGGCGGCGUGCCUAAUACAUGCAAGUCGAGCGAACAGACGAGGAGCUUGCUCCUCUGACGUUAGCGGCGGACGGGUGAGUAACACGUGGAUAACCUACCUAUAAGACUGGGAUAACUUCGGGAAACCGGAGCUAAUACCGGAUAACAUGUUGAACCGCAUGGUUCAACAGUGAAAGACGGUCUUGCUGUCACUUAUAGAUGGAUCCGCGCCGCAUUAGCUAGUUGGUAAGGUAACGGCUUACCAAGGCAACGAUGCGUAGCCGACCUGAGAGGGUGAUCGGCCACACUGGAACUGAGACACGUUCCAGACUCCUACGGGAGGCAGCAGUAGGGAAUCUUCCGCAAUGGGCGAAUGCCUGACGGAGCAACGCCGCGUGAGUGAAGAAGGUCUUCGGAUCGUAAAACUCUGUUAUUAGGGAAGAACAAAUGUGUAAGUAACUAUGCACGUCUUGACGGUACCUAAUCAGAAAGCCACGGCUAACUACGUG
rnacentral:rRNA from 1 species